UCCGACAAAGACGGAGGCGGCACCUGCGUCUAAAAGGCGGCGGUGACGUCACCUUUCCGCUGAUUGGAGGAAGCCAGGUGGCCCUCCUUGUCCAGGGUGGCACCAACCCGCUCUGAAGCUGUUGUGGGCCCGAUCAUUUUUCUCACGGCGGCUGUGUUAGGACUGGCCAGUUGGGGGAUCAGACGUGGAACGUGGGGUUGCAGUUGUCAGAACGACCCUCCAGGACAACUCUUGAGUAUCGUCCAUCCUCUCAGCGGGCCCCCUGCCAAGAGCCUGUCCCAUUGACUGGUUGUGGAGCCGAGAGAAAUGCUACUGGUUUUCCAAGGAGUUCGCUUCCUGGGACAGUAGCCUGGAUGACUGUUUGGCCCGGAAGUCAGGCCGCCUGCUGGUGAUCCAAGACACGAAG